GAGUGCGACCAUACCAACAGUAAUGCGCCAUAUCCCAUCAAAACACCAUAGUGAAGUGUGCUUGGGUGAGAGUAGUACUAGGAUGGGUGACCUCCUAGGAAGUCCUCGUGUUACAUCCC
rnacentral:rRNA from 1 species